rnacentral:misc_RNA from 1 species
UGCCACACUCAUAGCAACGCCGACAAACGGGAGCCUCACAUUCACGAGAGGGCGUGGCUUCAUUAUUUUUACUCCUCUUUCAACUCAAUCCCUGGAGCCACCCUAACGUCCCUGCUCCGAACUACUUGGUUUUGUGCAUUCGCCCGGUCUGGUAGUAAUUGAACGCUGCUCGCACAAGCUCCACUGCAGCCCGAUUCACCCUCUCCGACUGCCCAUUUUGUUUUCCAUUUUCCUUUCUGCGUGACUCUCUUGUCACACUCCUCGUCCUCUGCAGUAACAUUAUUCAUCGUACGCACUAGCACGCACACGACGUAAACUUUGGGUUCGCGAACCAAAAGCCCCCCCCCCCCCCCCAAUACGUGCAAGUAAAGGAAAGCAUCAACAGGGGAGUUUCAGCGGACCAGGGGCGCUCCUCCUCAUCAAAAGGAAAGACAAACGGCAAAGCAUCCCUCACUCUACGACCCGUCCUCACACGAGUUCAUCAACAUACAAAUUGACUGCGGGCACCCCGAAGGAGCGCCCCCUUGCCCAAAACGUAGCACAGGGUGACUUGAAGCGUUUUCACAGGCUUAACCCGUUCUUUUGUUGUUUUCAGCUGUCCCGUCUGAUUCUCUUUGCGCUUCUCGCACGAGGUACACUUGUCUUCAACUCGGGCAACUACAUACCCAAUUGCACGCGCUCACUCGCAGGACGACGAUCGCGCCGCCAUGAGCUCUGAAGGAGCUCUGAGCUCUGGGGACGCUAUGGAGGAGAUGGAGCUGAAGGAGAGAAACCACAGCAUUGAAGGAUCUUCGUUUACCGCCACUACCCGUGACAGCUUCGCCUCUGCAGAAGAAGACUCGACAGCAUCACAGGUCAACGAAGAAGCGUGCAUGGCUACCGGCAAGCCGAGAACCAUAACUUGGAAUGGGACGGCUACGACAGCGCAUGACUACACCGCUGCUUCUACGGCUGAAACGGAUGACGAGGAGAAUGCUGCCGUGGUGGCGCAGCCGCAGCUUCCGCUCGACCGACUCCAGGCUUAUAUUCAGGCGCUUGUGGGAAACAUCUUGGAGAGCCUUCGCGGGUUCGACGGCAGCAUCACAUGGCUAAAGCGCUCACACUCGGCCAUCGCAGCCCACCUGGACGGCAUCAACGCCGGGGCUGUUCCGGCCGCAACGGAGGAGUUUAGCGUUGCCUGGUUCGGUAUCGCAAGCGCUGUGCUGCAUGACUUGAUCCAAGAAAGCGUAGCGGACAUUUUCGCUCUCGCGACGCCGCCGCUUCUGUCCAGCGAGAAUGAGGAAUCAGCGCGUGGGUUGUGCGUGACGCCGCACGAGCUGUCCGUUGCCUUUGUCUCGGGUUUGCAGAGCAUUGUUUCGGAGGUGAUGAAUGACGGCGGGUGCCAUGGCUCGGGUGGCAGCCACCACUUCAGCCGCUACUCCUUGCGCAGUUUUGCCCAUGUAAAGGAGAUCAGCGAGAUGAGCCGCCGUCUCAUGGAGGAACACUUGACGCAGGGAGCACACGUGCCGCACGCGCUGCGCAACAAGUACAGCGACGAUACGACCCCUAUCGACUGCAAGGAGGACCUCUGCUCCAUUCUCCAGAGCACUGCUGAUGCGUGGGUGUGCAGCUUCUUUCCAGCCUACCAGCAGCGCUCUCGCAACCCAACAGAGGUGGCGCCGUUUCUGUGGGGGGAGGAAGAGGACGCCUCGCGCCUUAACCUGGAGCUGUUCUUUUACUGCUUGUACUUUGCUUGUCAGCAGCGGAGCUUGAUGCAGAACAGGGAAGCUCUUCCGCGCGGCGUUGUGGUGCCGACGGCGUGGAUGGAGCAGCUGCUGAGGUGGUCCACGCAAGCGAAGGAGCAGCACUGCUUGGCCUCACCCGGGCCACACCCACCUUUUCCGGGCCCGAUCGACACGUUCGCGCUCAUGACGGUCUCGCCGCACGACCCGCGCCGGCACUGGCUUUCUCUAGACUCGGAGCGAUACCAGGUGAUUCCAGAGACUCUGUACAACUCCUUCUUUGACUUCUUUGGCACCGGCCCCAAGUACGUCAUGUAUGGAGCCUUUCCUCUGCGGGAGCGCUGUCUCCUCAUGUGGAAGCCGCUUCCGCUGACCGUGUUCACGACAUUUGAGUGGUGGGAGCGGAACGAAUCGGACGGAGCGCUUGACAAGUACAGCGUAGAGGUGCCCGUGGAGGAGGCACUCCUGCAUAGCGACAUGCGCGAGGUGUGCCACCUCGCCUGGGGCGUGAUGAGGGAGGAGGAGGGCAUGAUGUCGGACAAGGUGGCCAGAGUGUGGUUUGCGGCAAUCAACGGAACCGACACGGUGCGCAUCUGCUGCAAAGGCCUCUAUAUGCUUUCCGUGAAAACAGGUCCGUUCACGAUUGCAGAAAGGGGGGAUGGGAUGGACGUGACCGUGCAGGAGAUAUUGCAGCAGCUGCGGCGGCGCAUCGAGCAGUAUAUGCCGGAGAGCGUGGAGGAGUGGAGGCUGCAGACGAGCGGGAAGGUGCUCUUGUCCCUGGUGCUGACGCUGAACAACACAAACAGCGACGACGGCGGAGGCGAAAUUACACGCACGAUGGAGGUGGCAGCACACCAAUGCGGUGUGUGCGGCCUGACCAAUGUCGGCAACACAUGCUACAUGAACAGUGCCCUUCAGUGCUUGUCGAAUCUCACCUCCUUCCGCACGAAGCUUUUGACGCUUCCCAUUUCGCACUUUUCACAGGCGGUUAUAACUCCGCUGCUCAUUAGGCUGCUGACGACGAUGUGGUCUGGGCAGCACUCCUUCGCGGAGACCCGUGAGCUUAAGGAGCAGAUUGGUAUGCGAGUGAAGCGUUUUUCUGGCUACCAGCAGCAAGAUGCAAAUGAGUUCAUAGAAGUGCUCCUGGAUCACCUGAGUGAGGAGAUCAAUCUCCUCUCGGAGCGAUGCUACCGACAGCGCGAGGACAGCGACAAGGCGAUCGCGACGCAGGAGCUCUCCACCAUCUUCUGGAGCAACUUCUUGGAAAACAACAAGUCGUUCAUACCGCCCCUCUUCUUCCACCAGUCGAAGACCGUCUUCACAUGCCUCACGUGUGGGGAGUGCAGCACCGUCUUCGACAACAACGUCACGCUCUCCGUCAGCAUCAAAGACCCGCCGCAGCGGCGCGCCAUGAGCGUGGAUGUUAUGGUGGAGCUAAGCAAGUCUGACGACGCGGCCGAGCCCGUCUCACACAGCGGCUUCAUGGCACCGCUGUUUCGACCUGUGAAGGGGGGCACGGCCCGUGCGCACGCGCUGGUGACGCUGAAGGUUCACGUGCUGGUGCAGCCAGACAACACGGUGCGCGAGCAGGAGGUGGAGGAGGCGCUUCGACAGCUGCUGCUGAGCAAUGCCAGUGCUAGCAGAGAGGUGCUGCGCUUUUUUCUGGACGGCUCUGCAGAUGAGAUGACUGCGGAGGAGGAAAAGCAGAGGGCAAGGAGUGUGGCAGCGCGCGUGCAGGUGGACGUGCGCGUAAUGGACAUUCCUGAUCAUGGUCGCGUGUUUGCUUGGGCACGGUGCUACCUGGCGAGCGCAGAUCUGAGCGUGGCAUCUGCGCCGCCACCGACUACAGUGGGUGCAGCAGGGGCGCCUGCGGCACGUGUGUGGUACUUCAUGAAGGAUGCACCGCUUCCCUCCACGACUGCCAUAAUAGGCACCCCGGUUUGGAUCGACGAGUUUCCGGCGUCUUACGGUGCGGAGCACCCGCAGCCUGCGGCCGUGGAUGCCGCCGACGCGGAGGGUCUCGUUUUGGCCAGCGAACCCCGUGACUGCAUGACCGCCUACGCGGAGCACAUCCGCCCGCGCUCUUUGGAGGUGGCGACAGCACUUCUUCAACGCGUUCCAGAAGACGAGACGGACGAGGUAGCGCUCUUCACUCCCACAGAGGCUCUAAGCGGAGGGGCAGGGUACGUCACGCCUCCAUCCCACAAGCACGAAGCCAAAGGAAAGCUGGCGUCCGCCAACGACGCCGGCGCAGCGGCUGCAUCCAUUGAGCGAGACAUCAAGAUAGUUCAGCGCAUUCUCCGCAAAUCCACAACCGCCAGCGUCACAAAAACCACAUCCACGGGCGACGACAUUAACACAGAUGCGACAGGGAGCGAGGCCUGUGAAAAGGCGCCAGCUUCCACGGCGCUGACGACCACCAUUGUCGUGUGCAUCCAGUACGACUCUGCCAAGUAUCAGCUCGUUACCGACGGACGGAGUUCGGAUGCCUUUGGACUCCGCGGCGUAGGUAGCGACAUCACCCCGGAGGUGAAAUGCUCGCUGCACGAGUGCUUGUCGCACUCUAUGCAGCCGGACCUGCUGCGGGGCGAGGAUGCCUGGUUCUGCAGUCGGUGCAAGGAGUUUCGGGAGACGAAAGUGCACCGCACCCUCUUCCGUCUGCCCCCGUGCCUCAUUGUGUCCUUUAAGCGCUUUAAGAUGCACACGUACAGCGCCGACAAGAAGAACACCACAGUGCAGUUCCCCAGCGAGCUCGACUUUGCGCCGUACCUGGACCCCGAAUCCGCUGGACUUCAGACGGAGGGCACGAAGUACCGCCUGCGCGGUGUGGUGUACCACACCGGGUCGCUCAGCUUUGGGCAUUACACUGCGGCCGCCUUCAACGAUUCCGUGAAGAAAUGGGUAUACUACAACGACACACACGCGACGAUCGACAGCUGCGACGCCCCAGCGCCGAAUGGGGCGUACAUUUUGUGUUUUGAGCGCGUUGAAGCUACGGCAAGUCCAGCGUAAUGCUGCCCGCCCUCUGCCAGUCUUUACUGGAGGAGGGGGGUGUAGGCAUAGUGGUAAGGAAAGGACGGGGGAGAGGGGGAGGGCACUGCUUCACGCAGCAGCAGGCGAGGGACUCGUACGAAGAGUGAGGAUGGAAAAAGGGAGGAAACAAACCGUCAGUGUUUUCUUUUGCGUGUGUGUCUGUUGCGCGCACACACACAGAUGUGCGUCUAUAAAGUCUCGAUAGCUCACCUCUGUGAGGAGGGUCUGUGAAAUGCGCCAGACAUCUGUGAGGUGGCCAUCUUUUAUUACUUCUCACCCUUUCGCUCAGCCCCUUCCCACCCUGUCUCCCUCGCGCUGCCAUCUCUUCCCUCAUGGAGAGCACGUUGUGCAGAGGAGGAGGAUACCGUGAGACAGGUGGUGGUUGUGGGGGAGGGCCCUGCUUUUACCACUGCAUGUGCGUGUCUGUAGUUGUGUGAGCGUGAGUGAGACUGUGGCGCAAAGGGGUGAAAUAACUCACCUGCCUGCUUUCUCUCUUAUCGUUCUUGUGGCGUGUCGCCUGUGGCAAAUGCCGCUUUUUUUGUGAUGUUGCCCUUUCUUGUGUGAUGUUGUACGUGAUGUGAGGCGUGCGCUUCUACUUUGGGGCUUCUUUCUUUGUUGCAUGAAAAAAAAAACGCUUGUGAUGGGAGAAGGCCGAGGGGAAGAGGGUAGAAGGCCGGAAGGGGCGAUGGGACCUUGUGGAGAGCGGGUGCGACUGAGAUGCAGCAACCGCGGAUGUUUGCGGUUGGUCCUUGCUCGUUUUCUCUUCCUUUCUUGAUGCUACUCUUUCUAUUCGCCCUCUCACUGAUUCAUUCUUCGGAUAAGUCGUUGUCGCGUGUCAAAGACGGAAGGGAUGGGGUGGGGGUGGGGGCACAGCACCUUUUUAUCUGCCGGAGGGCGCCGUGCCGAGGCGGUUGAUGGCUGAUCGCUGACCUCGGUGCGUGAAUGCGGGAUGAUGAGCUGCGCUAAGGUCCUCUCUUUCGUUUUCUUGGUUCUCUUUCGCGCACCUCAUGUGAUGCUGCCGCUGCUGCAGUCUCCCUGUCGAUGCCGAUCGCUUCUCUUACAUUUUCUCCCUUGUAUUGUUUUCCGGGCUGGCACGUGUGCAUUUUGUGUUUGUCUCGCUCCCAAGCUCGGCUGUUUCUACCCUCGUCUUUGCUUUUUCGUGUACGCGUGUGUCUUCUCCCCGGACUCCCUUCUUUCCUCUCCCCUCGCCCGCUGCUCACUUUUGUUCUUUUUUCUUGCACCUUCCUGUGGGUCUCUCUCGCUUCCUAUUUCGAAAAGACUGCCUUUAUCGAUACUUAAAAAGAGCACUUGGAAAAAUAAGAGGGCACUUCCUCACAGCAUACGCGCAUGCAAGCUCCUCCUCCUCGCCACCAAGCGAAGGCGAAUGCAUAUCCCCCCUUCACUCUCUCACUCCCCCGAAAAAAAAGGCGCCCUCAUUCUUUCAUUCACCGUUUCACCUGUAUUCCUUUCAAGAUGGAGAUGGGGUAUGGAAGCGAGAAGCACGGCCACACGCAGAGGUGCUGACGUGCCCAUGCAAGGCGGUGCGAGACGCAUUCAAUGAUCCGGUGAAGGGAAUACAAAAAAAAAUACGAAUGAAGGUGAGCGUCGUUAUGUGUAUCGGCAUGUUGUAUGUACGCUGUUUCUUACUCCCUCUUUGCGCAGAGAAAC